GCAGGAACAGGAGUCGAGCCCUUGAGCAAAAAGCCUUCCCGUCUGUAAGUGCCCGUGAUCCCAUGAGCCGGGACUCCUGACUCACAGGAAGACAGGCGUGAGCGCCCACCACCAACCCUGGCGGCCAGCGGCAGUGGUGUCCACCUGAAAGAUCACAGCGAGAUUCUCUUUCAUACGUCGUCUCCUCCUAGCCCUGGUGGGAGCAGGCCCGUGUGGAUCCAGGACAUCAAAGGGCAGAUUAUGUGGCUGCAAAGCCGUCGCCGACAGCACGGCUCACAUCUUGGUGCUUCUCCUUCUCAGAGGCUGGUCUCUUCUGGGCCCUGUAAAAGGCAGCACGUCAUAAACACUGUCUCCCACACAAGGGCCGUGGGCUGCCUUUGCCCCUCCUGGACAUGCCGCCUUGCACUGUGGUCUGCAGUGCAGCUCUUCUGCGUUCCUCCGUACGGGCCAGUCGGGACUGCUGAGAGAUGGUGAAGAAAGCCACCUGGACAGCUGCAUGUGGACGUGUCUGCCACUGCAGAAAGUCUCAGGGCUUCUCUGAUACUGGCACCAGUGAGCACCUGCUGGUGUCCUCAUCCAGAAUAUUCUGCAGAAUUAUUUUGACUUUGUCCAAUAUUUAGAUUUUUCCCCAAAACUUUAGUACCUGUUUCUAAAUGUGUAAGAGAACCUAAGAUAUAUUAAUAAAAUAGAAUGAAUUUGGA